UGAGGAAUAUUGGGCAAUGCCCGAAAGGGUGACCCAGCAACGCCGCGUGGAGGAUGAAGGUCGUAAGAUUGUAAACUCCUGUUAGAGGGGAAGAAUAACUAAGUUUGGAGCUUAGUAUGACUGUACCCUCAGAGAAAGCCCCGGCUAACUACGUGCCAGCAGCCGCGGUAAUACGUAGGGGGCAAGCGUUGUCCGGAUUUACUGGGUGUAAAGGGCGCGCAGGCGGAAUGGAAAGUCAGUGGUGAAAUCCUACAGCUUAACUGUAGAACUGCCUUUGAUACUUUCAUUCUUGAGUUCGGGAGAGAGAGACGGAAUUCCAGGUGUAGUGGUGAAAUACGUAGGUAUCUGGAAGAACACCAGUUGCGAAGGCGGUCUCUUGGUCCGAUACUGACGCUGAGGCGCGAAAGCGUGGGGAGCAAACA
rnacentral:rRNA from 1 species